rnacentral:rRNA from 1 species
UACGUAGGGCGCAAGCGUUGUCCGGAAUUAUUGGGCGUAAAGAGCUCGUAGGCGGCUUGUCACGUCGGAUGUGAAAGCCCGGGGCUUAACUCCGGGUCUGCAUUCGAUACGGGCUGGCUAGAGUGUGGUAGGGGAGAUCGGAAUUCCUGGUGUAGCGGUGAAAUGCGCAGAUAUCAGGAGGAACACCGGUGGCGAAGGCGGAUCUCUGGGCCAUUACUGACGCUGCGGAGCGAAAGCGUGGGGAGCGAACAGG